AUGAUAUGGAAGUGAAAAUCAAGAGAGUCAAAUUGAUUCUAUUCUGUAAUUGAUUUCUUUUUGUUAUCAUCACCAUUUUGUGUAACUAUCUAAGUCACAUGAAUUAAGUUUAGAAGUUCCCUUUCCUGCUAAUCACUUUUCUAUUCUUGUGACAAGGAAAUCUGUGAUCCUUGAAAGAUGAAGGUGGAUACCAGGGACUUGGUCUGUUAUCUCUGCAAUUCUGACUGUCCUUCAAGAAAGUUUGGUCUGUUAUCAAUGUGACAUUAACUCGCCGUGGAUGUGGAUGGACACCAUAUUUUUCUAUGGAGAAGUUUUCCAUUAGUGAGCUUUCCGUAGAGACAAGAUGGAUGGAUAAUUUGUUGCUAGCCCUGAAUUCCAAAUUUCUAUCUAAUCAUAUUGUCCCCCAUAUCUAACUUUGUAAUCAAUCAUAUUGUUUUCCCAUCUAUGCAAUUUAGAUUUGAUAUAAGAAGUUUUCUUACACAAAGGUAGACACACUAAUGAGCUUUCUAUGGAGACAUUUGGAAGGAGGGGUUGUUGCUAGCCCUGAAUUCCAAAUUUCCAGCCAAUCAUAUUGUCUCCUGCAUCUAUUAUACUUCUGACUUGUAAUCAAUGAUAUUGUUUUCCCCAUCUAUACAAUGGGCAUUUGAUAUCAAGGAGAAGUUUCCUUACAACUAACAAUAUCCAAAAGUGGAAUGAAUUGCCUAGUAGGACCACCUCUCCCUCCCUCCCUUCAAUUCAUUUUUAUGGUCGUCUUUCCUCAUUAGAAUAUAAGCUCCUUGAGGUCGAAGAUGACCCAGCAUUUAAAUCUGAGGAUUCUGCGAUGAAUUUUCAUGUUGUUGUUCACAGCAGAGCUAACAGAUCUUCUUCUAAUUGAGGGGACUGAUCUGUGUGUCAGUGGAUAUACUGAGGAAGAAAUCAUGGAUCCUUUAAAGAUUGAAAUUAGUGGAAGUAAUAACAUUAGUGCCUAGCACAGUAUCUAGUCCAUUGGAAGAGAGUGAGUGUGGACCUGGACCUAAGAUUUCAAUGGUGUAGAAGAGAAAACUCCUCUAUUAAACACUAUAGGACCUCUCCGGGGUGAUAGAAGUGGGGACAAAUCUGUGGCACAUGAGAGCAAUGCCCAAGGGGGACUUCACAGCUGCCUGCCCAGCCACCUCACUGCACCGAGGAACAUGGCUUCGCAUUAGACAAACAGAAGGACUAACAAGCCAGCAAACAAACACCUGCAUGCUCAGGUGAGAGAAGAGAGCAGGAAAUGAGAAAGCAUAAGAUAAUGAUGAAUGUUGGAGGGGAUGUGGGAAAACAGGGACACUGAUACAUUGUUGGUGUAAUUGUGAACACAUCCAGCCAUUCUGGAGAGCAAUUUGGAACUAUGCUCAAAGAGCUAUCAAACUGCAUACUCUUUGCCCCAGCCAUGUUUCUACUGGGCUUAUACCCCAAAGAGAAGGAGGGAAAAGGACCCACAUGUGCACAAAUGUUUGUGGCAGCCCUCUCUGUAGUGGCCAGAAAUUGGAAACUAGUGGAUGCCCAUCAGUUGGAGAAUGGCUGAAUAAAUUGUGGUAUAUGAAUGAUAUGGAAUACUACUGUUCUAUAAGAAAAGAUCAGCAGGAAGAUUUCAGAGAGGCCUGGAGAGAACUGAUGCUGAGUGAAGUGAGUAGAACCAGAAGAAUAUUACUCACAACAACAAGAUUAUGUGAUGAUCAAUUGUGAUGGCUGUGGUUCUUUUCAAAAGCAAGGUGAUUCAGGACAUUUCAAAUAGACGUGAUGGAGAGAGCCAUCUGCACCCAGAGAGAGGACUGUGGGGAUUGAGUGUGGACCACAACAUUUUCACUUUUUUUGUUGUUUGCUUGCAUUUUGUUUUCUUUCUCACUUUUCCCCCUUUUUUGAUCUGGUUUUUCUUGUGCAUUAUGAUAAUUGUGGAAAUAUGUAUAGAAGAAUUGCACAUGUUUAACAUAUAUUGGAUUACUUGUCAUGUGGGGAAGAGGGUGGGGGGGAAAGGAGGGAAAAAUUU